UACAGCAGGUGUUUACUGCCAUCUAGUGGAAGAUACCAAUAAAACACUUUAUUAUCAGGGUGGGGAGACGGCUGAGCUGAAACAGAAAGUAAAUGCGUUAUUUUGUUCAGGAUCCAUUUUGAGACGACAGAGCAGAAAACACUAUAUAGAGAGUAAAAAAUAAAAUCUGCUGAUCUGUACUCUAUACUAGAUGUCUCAACAAUCAGUCUGCUUGGUGAGGAGGAGGAAAUAAAUCUAUCUCUACCUACACUGAAUUCUGUCUGGAUAAAGUGUGUGGGGCGGCAAUAGACCAAGCCACGAGGCCCAGAGAGCAAUCUCCAGUACCCAGCUGUCUGUUUAUGAAGAGUGACUUCUCAAUGAAUCGUCCUGUCAAUUUGAAUGGUGGAUCAGGGACCUUUGACCCCAGAAGCUCCAACCAAACUCAGAGAUCAGUGUCUCCAGUACCCAGUUGUCUGUCCAUGAAGAGUGACUUCUCUAUGGAUCAUCCUGCCAAUUUUAGUGGUGGAUCAGGGACCUUUGACCCUAGAAGCUCCAACCAGAUCCAGAGAUCAGUCUCUCCAGUACCCAGUCAUCUGUCUAUGAAGAGUGACUUCUCUAUGGACCAUCCUGCCAAUUUUAAAAGUGGCUCAACACACUAUGAUCCUAGACAGCUGUGACAGAAUUACCCACCAAACUUGGACCAAGCAGCAGAGGAACGAGGAGGAAGGAUGGACGUGGGCAGAGAUAAGGAUGAGCGUUUCCAGGGCUAUGGAAGAGUUUAGUAAACUCGAGAGGCAGCCCCAAUAAUUUUUUUUGGGGGGGCACAAGGGCAGUUUUGCGGGGCAACAAUGGAGCCCCAGGCCAGCUCCCCGCACUAGCCCUGAGGUGCGUGUCUCCAGGCUGGCAUGUCCAGAUCCCUUAAGGUGAUGCAGAGGAAGAACAUCUCCCCUGAGAGGUGCAUCAAUCUCUUCCACUGUCUGAGAGAGAUGAAAGACCAUUCAUUACAGGAGGAAAUCCAAGCGUACUUGAGGUCAGUGAAGAGAUCCAAAAACCUCUCCCUUGCCCACUGCUCAGCACUGGCCUACAUGCUGCAGAUAUCAGAGGAGGUUCUGGAUAUGUUUGACCUGAAGGAUUACAAGACAUCAGAGGAGGGUCGUAGGAGACUGGUUCCAGCUGUGAGAGGCUGCAGGAAAGCUCUGUAAGUAUUCAUGUAAAUAUUGCACACCAAAAUACAUUGUAGUUAUAGCAGUGUUUUCAUUGUCUGAGUGGAUCUGUAAGUACUCAUGUGACUAUCCCUCAGACCAAACUUUACUGUAUGUAGGAACAACAGUAUUUUCAUCGGCUGACUACACUUUCUAUCAGCUGAAAAGUCUUAACAAACUAUAACUCAAACUGAUCAUUAAAAGUUAUAGCAUUGAGCCAUGUAUGCACGACGUACACAUUAUUUGUGCACGGGUAACAGUGUAAGCAGGGAAAGCUAAGCGUACCAUUUUAAUACAACCAGUCUGUUAUGCUAGUUCUUCUGUGUUGGCGUACGUGCUGGCUGUAAACUCACAGACACAUCCUGUGAAGUGUUGACCUCAGCUCAAACCCCUCACAUCUGAGUGAGCUGAAUCUGUGUAGCAAUGACCUGAAGGAUUCAGGAGUGAAGCUGCUCUCUGCUGGACUGGAGAAUCCCCACUGUAAACUGGAGACUCUGAGGUCAAUAUUCCUGUAGUUGGUCAACAAGUGAUAACUGUUCCCAGAUCCACAUGUGUUUACCAGGCACACAUUGUCCACACCAUAUGUGUUUGGAGAGUGAAGCUUACAGUUUUAAAUUUGGCACUAUGCUCCACCAUUUUGGAUUUGAGAUAGAAUGUUUCAUAUUAGGCAACAGUACAUACAUAUGUUUUACCGUUUAGAAAUUAAAGCACUUCAUAUCUCUAGUGCUCUUAUUUGAAGAAGUUGUAAUUAUUUGGACAAAUGCACUUAUAUUGUAUUAAAGUAGUCAUAAGUUUAGUAUUUGGUCCCAUAUUCCUUAAACGCAGUGAUUACAUUAAGCUUGUGACUCUACAAACUUGUUGAAUGUAUUUACAGUUUGUUUUGGAUUACGUUUUUCCCAAUAGUAAUUGAAUGGUGAAUAAUGUCCUGUGUCAUUUUGCAGUCACUUGUAUUGUAAGUAAGAAUAGAAGAUGUUUCUGAACACUUCUACAUUCAUGUGGAUCCUACCAUGAUUAUGAAUAAUCAUGAAUGAAAUGUGAAUGAUGAUGAAUGAGAAGGUUACAGAGGCACAAAUAUCAUACCCCUCUCUGUAAUUGGUAAUGUUGAGAGGUUCUGUCUUGAGAGGUUCUGUUUUGUUGUAACCUAUGUAACUUUCUCACUCAUUAUUAUUCAUAAUUCUUCUUAACCAUGGCAUCAUUAGGAUUAAUUUAGUAAUGUUUAGAAACAUGUUAUCUACUCACUUAGACAGAAGAUUAAUCCUGUCGUCAUCCACUAUUCAGUUACUAUUUGGCAAAACAUAACCCAAAACAAACUGCAAAUGCCACCAAUGAGUUUGGGACCAAAUACUAAACUUUUGACUACUUUAAUACACUAUAAGUGAAUUGGUCAGAAUACUUAUGACUUCUUCAAAUGGGUGGGCUAGAUACAUAAGGUGCUUUCAUUUUGAAACGUGAAACAGAUAUAUACUGCUCAAAAAAAGAAAGGGAACACUUAAACAACACAUCUUAGAUCUGAAUGAAAGAAAUAAUCUUAUUAAAUACUUUUUUCUUUACAUAGUUGAAUGUGCUGACAACAAAAUCACACAAAUAAUCAAUGGAAAUCCAAUUUAUCAACCCAUGGAGGUCUGGAUUUGGAGUCACACUCAAAAUUAAAGUGGAAAACCACACUACAGGCUGAUGUCCUUAAAACAAGUCAAAAUGAGGCUCAGUAGUGUAUGUGGCCUCCACGUGCCUGUAUGACCUCCCUACAAUGCCUGGGCAUGCUCCUGAUGAGGUGGCGGAUGGUCUCCUGAGGGAUCUCCUCCCAGACCUGGACUAAAGCAUCUGCCAACUCCUGGACAGUCUGUGGUGCAACGUGGCGUUGGUGGAUGGAGCGAGACAUGAUGUCCCAGAUGUGCUCAAUUGGAUUCAGGUCUGGGGAACGGGCGGGCCAGUCCAUAGCAUCAAUGCCUUCCUCUUGCACGAACUGCUGACACACUCCAGCCACAUGAGGUCUAGCAUUGUCUUGCAUUAGGAGGAACCCAGGGCCAACCGCACCAGCAUAUGGUCUCACAAGGGGUCUGAGGAUCUCAUCUCGGUACCUAAUGGCAGUCAGGCUACCUGUGGCGAGCACAUGGAGGGCUGAGCGGCCCCCCAAAGAAAUGCCACCCCACACCAUGACUGACCCACCGCCAAACCGGUCAUGCUGGGGGAUAUUGCAGGCAGCAGAACGUUCUCCACGGCGUCUCCAGACUCUGUCAUGUCUGUCACAUGUGCUCAGUGUGAACCUGCUUUCAUCUGUGAAGAGCACAGGGC
rnacentral:lncRNA from 8 species